rnacentral:sRNA from 1 species
AAAAAAAGACAAACAGAACCAUGUGGCUAUUUGGGUUUUGUGACGACGUCUUUUUGGUGGACUUUGGCCACGAGUCGUACUCCUGUUCCGACUAAAAUCGCACUCCUUCCUUGAUUCUGGAUUUCUGGACCUCGGAUGUCUUCCAAACGACAUCGUAAAAGUCAAGCCUGAGUCACUCAUGAACAGCGUUCCGAUUAUGGUCCGGCUCCCAUCCGUUGCACCACCUUACUUCUUUCACCACAAUAGUACCAUAAAAGGGCGCGUAUUAGGUACAUUUCGAAAGUAAUAUAGAACGAUGAUACUCGUAAGGAUGGUUCAUGAAUGAUACACGCAGACAUGCGUC